CGACGACAAUAGUGCGGUUAUCCCACCUGAAUCCAUCCCGAACUCAGAAGUGAAAAGCCGUUACGUCGAUGGUAGUGUGGGGCUUCCCCAUGUGAGAGUAGAGCAUCGUCGGGUUUUA
rnacentral:rRNA from 1 species